rnacentral:rRNA from 1 species
GAUGAACGCUGGCGGCGUGCUUAACACAUGCAAGUCGAACGGAAAGGCCCAAGCUUGCUUGGGUACUCGAGUGGCGAACGGGUGAGUAACACGUGGGUGAUCUGCCCUGCACUUCGGGAUAAGCCUGGGAAACUGGGUCUAAUACCGGAUAGGACCACAUUUUGGAUGGUGUGGUGGAAAGUUUUUCGGUGUGGGGUGAGCUCGCGGCCUAUCAGCUUGUUGGUGGGGUAAUGGUCUACUAAGGCGUCGACGGGUAGACGGCCUGAGAGGGUGUACGGCCACAUUGGGGCUGAGAUACGGCCCAGACUCCUACGGGAGGCAGCAGUGGGGAAUAUUGCGCAAUGGGCGCGAGCCUGAUGCAGAGACGCCGCGUGGGGGAUGACGGCCUUCGGGUUGUAAACUCCUCUCGCUAGGGACGAAGCGUUUUUGUGACGGUACCUGGAGAAGAAGCACCGGCUAACUACGUG